AACGAACGCUGGCGGCAGGCCUAACACAUGCAAGUCGAGCGAGGACUUCGGUCCUAGCGGCGGACGGGUGAGUAACGCGUGGGAACGUGCCCUUUGCUUCGGAAUAGCCCUGGGAAACUGGGAGUAAUACCGGAUGAGCCCUUUGGGGGAAAGAUUUAUCGGCGAAGGAUCGGCCCGCGUUGGAUUAGGUAGUUGGUGGGGUAAUGGCCUACCAAGCCGACGAUCCAUAGCUGGUUUGAGAGGAUGAUCAGCCACACUGGGACUGAGACACGGCCCAGACUCCUACGGGAGGCAGCAGUGGGGAAUCGUAGACAAUGGGGGAAACCCUGAUCUAGCCAUGCCGCGUGAGCGAUGAAGGCCUUAGGGUUGUAAAGCUCUUUCAGCUGGGAAGAUAAUGACGGUACCAGCAGAAGAAGCCCCGGCUAACUCCGUG
rnacentral:rRNA from 1 species